CACGUAGGGCGCAAGCGUUGUCCGGAAUUAUUGGGCGUAAAGAGCUCGUAGGCGGUCUGUUGCGUCCGCGUGUGAAAUCUCGGGGCUUAACCCCGAGCCUGCAGUGGAUACGGGCAGACUAGAGGUAGGUAGGGGAGAAUGGAAUUCCCGGUGUAGCGGUGAAAUGCGCAGAUAUCGGGAGGAACACCGGUGGCGAAGGCGGUUCUCUGGGCCUUACCUGACGCUGAGGAGCGAAAGCGUGGGGAGCGAACAGG
rnacentral:rRNA from 1 species